rnacentral:miRNA from 11 species
GGUGUGUGUGUGUGUGUGUGUGUGUGUGUGUGUGUGUAUGUAUAUACACACACACACCAACAACAAC